UGGCAGGGAGAAGGAGAGAGAGGGGAGGACUUGUUGAGGUGGUGAUGAGGUAAAAAGGUAGGGAGAAGAGACAGGGUAGAAUAGGCAAAGGGAAGGUAGGGCAGGGACGAGAAGAGUUUGGAGUUACCAGGGAAGGAAAACGGGGCGUGGGAAUUACAAAGGGAAGCUGAACGAAAGGAAGGAAUGGAAGGGGAAGGAGUGGCGACAGCUGGCAAAGGGAAAGAGAGAGGGAAGCAUGAUAAUAAACAGGUGACAAGUGAGAUAAGCAAGUAAAAAAGUAGGAGAAAGUGCAGUACAUACGUGUAGAGAGGAUUGGAGAAAAGAAGUACAGUGAUGUGGUGAUAGUUAAGUAUUAGAAAAAUGUAAGGAAAGAGUGAUAAUAUACAGGUGACAAGUGAUAACCAAGGAAGAGAAUGAGGAGUAGGAGAAAGUUGAAUGUAUACGUGUGGAGAGGAUUGGAGAAAAGAAAGUACAGAGAUGUGGAGAUAUGUAAGUAUUAGAAAAAAAAGUAAGGGAAGCGUGUUGAUAUACAGGUGACAAGUGAUAACCAAGGAAGAGAAUGAGGAGUAGGAGAAAGUUGUGGAGAGGAUUGGAGAAAAGAAAGCUCUGUGAUGUGGAGAAAGUUAAAUGUAUUAGAAAAAAAGUAAGUAGAAAGACAGGGCAAGGUGAGAUUAGGAAACGGGACAUGGCAAGGUACAGAGAAGAGGUAGUGAAGUAUUGAGAUUAGAUGCAUUCCGGUGGGGUUAAAAAAAAAUACUGGAAUAAUUGAAGAAUGCAGAACGUUAACCUGGCUGAAGAGUGUGCAUUGAAAAAGUGAAGUAGAAGGGUAGAGAUUAGUAAGAGGACGAGACGCUCUUGUUGAAAGGUAUAAUUGGGAUAAGGUAUAAGGAGAGGUAUGCAGCCAGGUGAACAGGCCAAAAAACACAGGUAAGGAAGAUAUGUAUGUGAGCAUGAGGCAAGGUCAGGUAGAUGAACAGGUGAGCGUACUAAAGAACAGCCAGGUAAAGAGAACGAGGUAUGAAGGAUGAGGUAAGGAAAGGUAAGCAAGGAGGUGAUUUGACGCUAUAGAACAGACAGGUAAGGAACGAGGGAAGAAGGUAAAAAAUGUGUGUAAGAAGGUGAUUUGACGCUAUAGAACAGACAGGUAAGGAACGAGGGAAGAAGAAUAAGGUAAAAAAUGUGUGUAAGAAGGUGAUUUGACGCUAUAGAACAGACAGGUAAGGAACGAGGGAAGAAGAAUAAGGUAAAAAAAUGUGUGUAAGGUGAUUUGGCGCUAUAGAACAGACAGGUAAGGAACGAAGGAAGAAGAAUAAGGUAAAAAAAUGUGUGUAAGGUGAUUUGGCGCUAUAGAACAGACAUGAACAGACAGGUAAGGAACGAGGGAAGGAUAAUAAGUUAAAGAAAGAUGUAGAAGGAAGAGACUUGAAACGAUAAAACAGACAGGCAACGAGUAUAUCAAUUUAUGUAACUGUGAGGUAAAUUCAGGUAUGUAAAAAGGAAAACACAAUAAAGAAUAGCAACAUAGGAAGUGAGGUAGGGAGGAAAAGGCAAAGAACGGUGUGUAAGGAGGUAACUCACAUAAAGAACAUACAGGUGAAGAAUAUAUACGUUUGGAACUGAGGUAAUUAGAUAAGGUAAGUAAUCAGGUGACCACAUGUACUAAAGAAAAGGAGGAGAUAACAGAGAUAGGGAGUGAUAAAGGGAAGAUAAGAUAAAGAAAAUUGUGUAAGUAGGUAAAUUACGAUACAAAACAAACAGAUAAGGAUGAUAAACUGAAGUAACUAUGAGGUAAAGUUAAAAUAUUGCAGGUUAGAAGUGAAGCAAAAGAGAGCAGCAUACAGGUAGGGCGUUAGGCAGGGAGCACUCGACUGGGGCAGGGGUUGGCAGGGCUGCAGGGUGUGGGAACAGGGGCGUGAGAGCUGAGUGCAGGAAACCAAAGGAAGGGAGAGUUGAGUUCCUUGUGAAAAUAAGGGAAAAUAUUACAUACUUACAUUGAGUUCGUUGCAAUGUUCCUCUUUCCUCUAUUUCCCAUCUUGCUUUCGUCACUCUCCUCUCUCUCCCUCUCACCCUGUUCACCCCUUCACCCUUCCCCCUCUUCCUCCUCGUCUCCUCUCCCCCUUCACAUCAGUUGGCAUCCUUUCUCUCACUCCCCUUCACCACCCACCAUUUUUUCCUCUCCCCCUUUCUCGGUUCUCUUAUCCUUCACAUUGAUCCUUCCUUCCCUCCUUCUCCUCAUGUCCCUCCCUUACCUCCCUCCUCCUCCUCCUCUCCUCCUCUCUUAUGUUUUUCUCCUCCCUCCUCCUCCUCGUUCCCUUCUCUCUUUUAUUCCCUCACCCCUUAUCCUUUGCACUCCUCCUCCUCCUCCUCCUCGCUUCUCACUCACUCACUCAACGUUAGCGAUUUCCUUUCAUUUCUUUCUUGUUCCUUUCUCUUCAUCCUCUUUCUCCCGACAUGCUUCCUUCUAAUUCUACCUCCUUCCU